rnacentral:rRNA from 1 species
GAUGAACGCUGGCGGCGUGCCUAAUACAUGCAAGUCGAGCGAACAGACGAGGAGCUUGCUCCUCUGACGUUAGCGGCGGACGGGUGAGUAACACGUGGAUAACCUACCUAUAAGACUGGGAUAACUUCGGGAAACCGGAGCUAAUACCGGAUAAUAUAUUGAACCGCAUGGUUCAAUAGUGAAAGACGGUUUUGCUGUCACUUAUAGAUGGAUCCGCACCGCAUUAGCUAGUUGGUAAGGUAACGGCUUACCAAGGCGACGAUGCGUAGCCGACCUGAGAGGGUGAUCGGCCACACUGGAACUGAGACACGGUCCAGACUCCUACGGGAGGCAGCAGUAGGGAAUCUUCCGCAAUGGGCGAAAGCCUGACGGAGCAACGCCGCGUGAGUGAUGAAGGUCUUCGGAUCGUAAAACUCUGUUAUUAGGGAAGAACAAAUGUGUAAGUAACUAUGCACGUCUUGACGGUACCUAAUCAGAAAGCCACGGCUAACUACGUG